UGUUCUCGAGCUAGCCCUGGCUUGGGACCUGCCAGGUGUCACACAAACCAAUAGAAAGUGGCUGUAUGAACGUCUGCUAUUCCACGCUGUCAUAACACGAACAAGCCGUCAAGUCAAGCAGCUGAGGAAAGGGCUUAAGGAGACCAUGGUAUGGUCGCUUCUGACAGAAAGAUCAGACAUCAUUCCUCUUUUCUUACCAAGGGAAUCAGAGACUGCUCCCUGUUGUGAGUCUAUUCUAGAAAGGAUAGUGUGGCCUGCCACAGAAGAUGAAGAUGAGGAGGAAGAGGAAUGCUCUCGAGGAUAAA